GUCGUCAGCUCGUGUUGUGAAAUGUUGGGUUAAGUCCCGCAACGAGCGCAACCCUUAUCCUUUGUUGCCAGCGAUUCGGUCGGGAACUCAAAGGAGACUGCCAGUGAUAAACUGGAGGAAGGUGGGGAUGACGUCAAGUCAUCAUGGCCCUUACGAGUAGGGCUACACACGUGCUACAAUGGCAUAUACAAAGAGAAGCGACCUCGCGAGAGCAAGCGGACCUCAUAAAGUAUGUCGUAGUCCGGAUUGGAGUCUGCAACUCGACUCCAUGAAGUCGGAAUCGCUAGUAAUCGUGGAUCAGAAUGCCACGGUGAAUACGUUCCCGGGCCUUGUACACACCGCCCGUCACACCAUGGGAGUGGGUUGCAAAAGAAGUAGGUAGCUUAACCUUCGGGAGGGCGCUUACCACUUUGUGAUUCAUGACUGGGGUGAAGUCGUAACAAGGUAACCGUAGGGGAACCUGC
rnacentral:rRNA from 1 species